ACACACACGUUUACAACUGCAACUGAAGAGAUUAGAUUUGAGGGUGGCUAGCGACCACAGAAGAAGAGUAACACAAUACGUCAUCUCUGUGCUUCUUUGUCUACAAUUUUGGAAAAAGUGAUGACGCCAUCGCUCUUUCCCAAAUGUAGACAAAGCAAUACCGUGAUGACGUCAUAGAGAUUUUUUGUUGAUGUUAUAUGAGCCUCUAUCUUGCUCUAUCUUCUUAAGUUACAGAUGCGUGUGAUGAUGGAUCUAGAGUUCCAAGUGCUGUUCUUUAUUUUGUUUUUGUUGUUUAAUAGUGAAUUUUGUUCUUCAGAUACGGUUUCAAAGAGAAAAAUGUAACCAAAAAGAUUCUAAGACAACUAAAUAUCGUAAAGAACAAAAUUAUGAUAUUGACGCACGGCACGGAUAAUAAACUUGGCCGUACUC